AGAGUUUGAUCCUGGCUCAGGAUGAACGCUAGCGGCAGGCUUAAUACAUGCAAGUCGUGGGGCAGCGCGGGUAGCAAUACCUGGCGGCGACCGGCAAACGGGUGCGGAACACGUACGCAACCUUCCUUCAAGUGGGGAAUAGCCCAGGGAAACCUGGAUUAAUACCCCGUAAUACUAUGAGGUGGCAUCACCUUAUACUUAUAGCUCCGGCGCUUGAAGAUGGGCGUGCGCCUGAUUAGGUAGUUGGCGGGGUAAUGGCCCACCAAGCCUACGAUCAGUAACUGGUGUGAGAGCACGACCAGUCACACGGGCACUGAGACACGGGCCCGACUCCUACGGGAGGCAGCAGUAAGGAAUAUUGGGCAAUGGACGCAAGUCUGACCCAGCCAUGCCGCGUGGAGGAUGAAGGUCCUCUGGAUUGUAAACUUCUUUUAUCUGGGAAGAAACCCAUAAUUUCUAUUGUGGUUGACGGUACCAGAUGAAUAAGCACCGGCUAACUC
rnacentral:rRNA from 1 species